rnacentral:rRNA from 1 species
AGGCCGUGAGGCGGAGCAAAUCCCAAAAAUAACGUCUCAGUUCGGAUUGUAGUCUGCAACUCGACUACAUGAAGCUGGAAUCGCUAGUAAUGGCAGGUCAGCAUACUGCCGUGAAUACGUUCCCGGGCCUUGUACACACCGCCCGUCACACCAUGAGAGUUGGGAAUACCCGAAGCCUGUGAGCUAACUUUUAGAGGCAGCAGUCGAAGGUAGAAUCAAUGAUUGGGGUGAAGUCGUAACAAGGUACC